UUACAGGUGUGAGCCACUGGCUCCUGGCUCCAAUUUCUCAUUUAUGAGAGCAGAAGUCAAAGCUCAGCUGCCGGAGCAGGCAGGACAGGAAGCUAGACCUCUCCCUCCCCUCCAGGCCUUACUGUAACCCCCACCCCUGCGCAUGCCCUUCUUUCCUCAGAAUGGGCUCUGACUUUAGAAAGUGCAGUUCACCAAGUUGCACCCUGGAUGAGGGUCCGUCAUCCUCCCCCAAAAUACCAUGAGCUCCUGGAGAGCAAAACUGUUUUGCUCACUUCUUUAUUGCUAUGGCAUAAUAGCACAUUAGAUCUUUAGGCUAUACUUGCUGAAUGAAUGAAUAAAUGAACGAAAUGAAGGAAGGAAGGAAGAAUGAAAAUGUAAG